GACGAACGCUGGCGGCGUGCUUAACACAUGCAAGUCGAACGAUGAAGCUGGAGCUUGCUCCGGUGGAUUAGUGGCGCACGGGUGAGUAACACGUGAGAAAUCUGCCCUUGACUCUGGGAUAACUGCGGGAAACUGUAGCUAAUACCGGAUAUUUUCCUUGGUGGGCAUCCACUGGGGAAGAAAGAAUUUCGGUCAAGGAUGAUCUCGCGGCCUAUCAGCUAGUUGGUGAGGUAAUGGCGCACCAAGGCGACGACGGGUAGCCGGCCUGUGAGGGUGACCGGCCACACUGGGACUGAGACACGGCCCAGACUCCUACGGGAGGCAGCAGUGGGGAAUAUUGCACAAUGGGCGCAAGCCUGAUGCAGCAACGCCGCGUGAGGGAUGAAGGCCUUCGGGUUGUAAACCUCUUUUAGCAGGGAAGAAGCGAAAGUGACGGUACCUGCAGAAAAAGCACCGGCUAACUACGUGCCAGCCGCCGCAGUAA
rnacentral:rRNA from 1 species